rnacentral:sRNA from 1 species
CAGAGCAGGACUGUCUCUCUAAACCCUAACCGCCGGGACCCUUCUCCUCUUCUCUCCCCUGCUUCCUCACAGAGACGAGAGGCGACAGAAUAUUACAACUACCAUGUUGGAUACUGCAGUCAGGCAGUCCCGCCUUCGUAUGAUGUGAGCGUUGGAGCCGGGUUGGGGGGGGGGUACCGAUGUAGCCCGUGGCCACCCUCUGGAGAAAGAAUAUGCAUUGAUGAUGGAUUUGGAGGUUUUCCUUUUUUUUUUUUUUUUUUAAUCUAUUUAUUUGAUUUUAUUUGAUUUUAUUUUUUUAAAAUAUUUCUUCGUUCUUCAGCCUCCAACUAACAGGACAGACAGCGCUACUCUGGUGGGUAAGCUUAACUCACCUCCCCCCAGGCUGACAAGGGCGUGAAACGGUGGGUGUGUUCGAGGCCAUGCAGAUCAUUUCAGCGUGUGUUCGUUCCCCCCUCCUCUCUUCCUUGUCAUUCUCGCAGCCUCGAGCAGGAAGCAGCGCGCAGUGACAGACCACAUGCAGCGAGACCGGAGCAGGGAGAACAGCGAACAGCGACUCAGAGCAACAGCUGUCCCCCUCAUCCUCCUUUUUCUGCUGGUCGGAAGGAGGGGCACAACACACAAGCUCCCACCAGGCGGCCAAUGCCAUCCGUCGCCCAAUACUAAUAAUGACCACUAACACACAGGGUAUCACACACCGGCAUUGCUAAUCUAGCCUGCUCUGCCAUCUGUGUUGACUGGGUUAUCUGAUAAUCUCUGUUCCUCCU